AGUGGUAUAACUGGGUCAAAUGGUGGUUCUAUUCCAAGGUUUUUGAGGAAUCUCCAUACUGUUUUCCAGAGUGGUUGUACCAUUUUGCAGUUUCACGAGCCAU
rnacentral:pre_miRNA from 1 species